GAUCUGAUCUCAAAUCAGGUAGGACUACCCGCUGAACUUAAGCAUAUCA
rnacentral:rRNA from 1 species